rnacentral:rRNA from 1 species
AACGAACGCUGGCGGCAUGCCUAACACAUGCAAGUCGAACGAGACCUUCGGGUCUAGUGGCGCACGGGUGCGUAACGCGUGGGAAUCUGCCCUUGGGUUCGGAAUAACAGUUAGAAAUGACUGCUAAUACCGGAUAAUGUCUUCGGACCAAAGAUUUAUCGCCCAGGGAUGAGCCCGCGUAGGAUUAGCUAGUUGGUGAGGUAAAGGCUCACCAAGGCGACGAUCAGUAGCUGGUUUGAGAGAACGACCAGCCACACUGGAACUGAGACACGGUCCAGACUCCUACGGGAGGCAGCAGUGGGAAUUUUGGACAAUGGGGGGCAACCCUGAUCCAGCAAUGCCGCGUGAGUGAAGAAGGCCUCGGUUGUAAGACGUCUUUUGUUCUAGGGAAGAAACGGUAGAG